ensembl:misc_RNA Metazoa_SRP Metazoan signal recognition particle RNA
GCUGGGUGUGGUGGUGUGCGCCUGUAAUCCCAGCUACUCAGGAGGCUGAGGCAGUAGAAUUGCUUGAACCCGGGAGGUGGAGGCUGCAGUGAGCCGAGAUCGUGCCACUGCACUCCAGCCUGGGUAACAGAGUGAGACCCUGUCUCAA